rnacentral:lncRNA from 1 species
UAUAUGAACAAGCUUGAUUGCACUAUAUCCGAACUGGUCAACAUGUUGAUCACUAUAAAAAAAACUUUGAAGAGUUCAAGGAGCAUUGUUCUCACUAUAGAGCAGACUUCUUUCAAGAGAAAGUCUACUAGGAAGAAGAAGGAAAAAUCUGUUAAGAAGCAGAAAAAGGAGAGUAGGCCAAAGAAGGAAGUUCCUAGUAAGGUCGAAAUAAAAGAAAAAUAUUUUCACUAUUAUGCUGAAGGCCACUG